GACGAACGCUGGCGGCGUGCUUAACACAUGCAAGUCGAACGAAGUGGCGAACGGGUGAGUAACGCGUAAUCCACCUGCCCUUCAGAGGGGGACAAAAGUUGGAAACGACUGCUAAUACCGCAUACUGAAGGAGGGGAUUGCGUCUGAUUAGCUAGUGGGAGGGGUAAUGGCCCACCAAGGGGAUGAUCAGUAGCCGGUGUGGGUGGAUGAACGGCCACAUUGGGACUGAGACACGGCCCAGACUCCUACGGGAAGGAGCAGUGGGGGAGCUUCCGCAAUGGACGAAAGGCUGACGGAGCAACGGCGCGGGAGUGAGGACGGCCUUCGGGUUGUGAAGCUCUGUUAAUCGGGACGCGGUACCGGAAUAGAAAGCCACGGCUAACUACGUGCCAGCAGCCGCGGUAAUAC
rnacentral:rRNA from 1 species